rnacentral:sRNA from 1 species
UUUGCUUUAAUCUCCUUGUUUAUUCUUUAAACUUCACUAGAAAGGUUGCGUGAAAUAAGGUAUGGUGGGGAGGGGAUGCAGUAUCUGCAGAGUGCAGUUUUUUGUAUGUGUUACUGUUCCUUUGGCCUCAUAUGCUUGCAGUGAUGGUUCCUUACUUGUUUUAGUUUUCAAUUGGAUAUUAUAGUGCAGUUAAAAUAAUAGAAGUGUGCAGAAAUUUUUUUGCUUCAAGUAUAACUGAAUGCCAAAUUACUAGUUUUGAGAUGUUAGCUUUGAUUUUAAACACUUGUUCUUUACUUUUAAAGAAAUCUUUACAUAUCAGUUCUUUUGAUUUUGAGCCUUACAUGACCAGUUGAGUUUUCUUUGUAGAGACACCAAUAUAUUUAUUUGAUGAAGUGGAAUUUAUCAUGUUUGAUCAUCUUCCAAAAACAUCAUUUCAUUUAAAAGGAAAACAUUAACUUACAUACACAGCAAUGAAUUAAAACUUAGAUCAAAUCAUGCUGAUUUAUCCUCCAGAUUUUCUCUUUUUUGCUUAAACAUCCUUCCCCCAACCUGAAGGGACCUGCCUUAUUGGAUGACUCUGUGAGCUAAAUUUUAUUUCUCAAUAUAGAAGAGUUUAAUUAAUGUUGUUUGUGGUUAUAUGAUAGUUAUUCAUCUUAUUAAUGUGUCUCUUGCUGUUCCGUAUGCAAGGCUACAGAUAAUCAGGUACAGUAGCAAUUGCUUUCCCUUUCUUUAAGUUACCAGUGUAAAGGCUUUCACAGGUGUCAGGUUGCCUUAUUUCCUUCUUCUAUCUUCUUGAGCUUUAAGAAACACUUGUCUGUAAUUCAUGCUCUGGUGUUGCCAUAAAUACUGGAUGGUGAAAGUGGAGUGGAUUCAUCAGAAAAGGAGUUGAGAUCAUUAUGAGCUCUUUGCUGUCUAGAACAUGAAUAUCUGAUUACUCAUAAAAGGUUUCUCUUUCAUAUUUCUUUUCUAACAAAAGUUUGAAUGAAAGUUAUAUGCUGCAACUUGUUCACCUGCUCAAGAUGCUGGAGCUGGUUAUGUGGCUUGGGGUCGCUCAACCCUUAUUGGACCUGUCAGUAAAUGCUUGUUUUUUAGCUCUGUUAUGGAUUAACAAAAUAAGGUUAUGCUAAAGAGAUACAUAUGGAAAGCAAGACUCUCUGAAUCUUUUGUGGUUAUAAGUCUUUUAAGGGGACAAGUAUAUACUCUAAAUUUUUGCAUGUGACAGUUUGGAGAAGUUCUGGCUACCUUUGAACAUGAUGAGAACAUAAUUAUAGCAGAGAUUGAUUAUUCAAUACUUGAGCAACGAAGGGCAAGUCUCCCUUCAGCAAAGCAACGGUGAGGUGAUUUUUACCAGUUGCUAGACAUCCAGAGACUCAACUCUCAUUGAUUACAGAAGAGAACCUUCUGAGAGAGCUAUGAUUCACGGUGAGAAUUUUUCAUCAAGAAAGAUGGGAUUCUAUUGAUAAUCAGGAGACUCUUCUAGUCCUUUAAACUCAGUAUUUAGAGAGAUGUUAAUCAUUUGGAUGAUUACUGGAAACUCAUAUUUGAGAAUAAAUGGAAUUGCUACUGUUGUCCUGUU